GACGAACGCUGGCGGCGCGCCUAACACAUGCAAGUCGAACGAAGCUGUUUUCGGACAGCUUAGUGGCGGACGGGUGAGUAACACGUGAAGAACCUGCCUUACAGAGGGGGACAACAGUUGGAAACGACUGCUAAUACCGCAUAACACCAUGAGAUGGCAUCAUCUUGUGGUCAAAGGAGCAAUCCGCUGUAAGAUGGCUUCGCGUCCGAUUAGACAGUUGGCGGGGUAACGGCCCACCAAAUCAACGAUCGGUAGCCGGACUGAGAGGUUGAUCGGCCACAUUGGGACUGAGACACGGCCCAGACUCCUACGGGAGGCAGCAGUGGGGAAUAUUGGCACAAUGGAGGAAACCCUGAUGCAGCGACGCCGCGUGAGGGAAGACGGGUCCUCUGGAUUGGUAAACCUCUGUCUUCGGGGACGAAACGAGACGGUACCUAACAAGAAAGCACCGGCUAACUACGUGCCAGCAGCCG
rnacentral:rRNA from 1 species